rnacentral:ncRNA from 1 species
CCAGCUGAAUUUAUGCUAUAACUAAGCGGAGAAAAGAAACUAAUGAGGAUUUCUUUAGUGAGGGCGAGUGAAAAGAAAAAAGCCCAACGCUGAAUCCAAUAGACAUUUGGCGCUUUAUGGAAAUGUAGCGUGUCAGUAAUAGAAGGUGCUAGAUCUGUACGGGUGAGAAAAAUUAUGGUAGGUUAUAUUUUGGGGUCGGGUUGUUUGAAUUGCAGCCCAGAGAGGGUAGUAAAUCUCAUCUAAGGCUAAAUACGACCAUGAGACCGAUGGCAAACAAGUACAGUGGGG